rnacentral:lncRNA from 1 species
AUGUUUAGCAAGUUUGAAUUUGAUGGGAAACUGAAUCCUACUUUUGUGGAAGGGGCAUUUAAGCUCCCAUUAUCAAGCAUACGAGCAUAUCUAAAAUAGCCUAUUACUCCCAGGUUUCACAUUCUUUUCAUUUUGUUGGAUUAUCUUCUUAUGACUAAACAUAAUUGAUCUGCUAGGUGCACUUUCUGUUUUAGUCUUUAAAGAAUCUCUUUGCUUGUGUUCCGUGUAGGUUCGUACACUUAGGUUCUGCAGGAGCUACCCGACCUGACAGGCCUGGACUUGAUCUAAGUAAACAACCUCCUGCUGUUCGCUUAAACAAGGAAUUAGAUUUUAUACUGACAUUCAAGUUGAAGGUUUCAUACUAAUUCAGUGCAAGCUGUUUGAUAUUUUUAUAUAUAAUCAGUGUAUCAAAAUACCACUUCUUAGCUCUUCUCUCUCUCUCUCUCUCUCUCUCUCUCUCUCUCUCUCUCUCUCUCUCUACAUUGCGGGUGUAUAUACUCGUAGCAGAUGAAAAGCAGAGGCUUCAACAAGAACAUACAUAAGCGACCAAGAUUUUAA